UUAUUCUGAUGUUUGGUAGAGACCAUUAGAAAGGAAGAUAGGAAACUUCUAAUUCAACAUUUAAACCUUUUUCUCCUGUAAACACUCUUUCUAUUACCUCAGGACCAAAAGAGGUUAUAACACAAGUAGCCUCAGAAUGACAAUGUGACGUUUGCCAACCAAUGAACUCAUGAGCCCAGCAAAGUUUGUUUCUUUUUCACUGAUGGCUCCAUUCUGGAUUCUUAUUUUAUAUCUCUGCAAAACAAAUCCUGCUCAGACUUUGGACCUUUCUGAGCCACUAUUUGUCUCAGUUAAGCCUGGUGAAGAUGUCACCCUUAACUGCAGUCUGACAGCACAGUCUGGACAGGCUCUGUGGGCCUGGUACAAGCAAACACUAAAGCACCAGGACCCCCAGCGAGUGGGAACAGUGUUGACAGGCACGCAGGCCACGGCUUCGCCUCCGCUUGAUAAGUCCAAGUUCAAAAUAAUUAGAAGUGGCAUGUCAUUGACAAUUCCACAUGUUACUGAAGACGAUGAAGGAAUGUAUUUCUGCGUAAUGAUGGAUUUGAAAGUGAUGAGGUUCUCAUAUGUUACAUUCUUAGAUGUGACAGGUAAUCAAUUCAUUUUUUCAGCAAUUAUAACGUACGUUAAGAUAAUAAUUCUUCAAAGUAUGACAUACAUCAUAUCAAGCAAGACUUCUGAAGGAGAAUGAGUUUAAAUAUUGGGAUUUGAUUUGAUGUUUUUUUCAGUAGAGUGAUUUUCGUACUUGUAUCAUGAACACGUUGACCUUUCUUAGGUAGUCCUUGUUAGUCUAAAUGUAUUAGUGGAAACAAGAUCAACAAAGAUCUUAAACAUUCUGUACUAUAUUGAUUAGGCCAUACAGAGUUAAACAUAUCAGUGUUCUAGAGUCCCAAAGUCCAGUGUUGGGGAGGGUUCCCCAGGAGAGUCAAUGUCUCUGAGAGGACAACAGCAGAACUCUGAGUGCUUUGGUUCAGAGCUGCUGCAGGAGACUCCCAUCCUAAAAUCAUUUACACUCAUCACAACAGCAGCCAUCAGUGUGAGAUCAGCUCUUCUCCACACAGCUGUGUGUGCAACCUCUCCAAGAGUGUCCUCAGCCUCUCUGAUACUGUGCUGUGGCCACCUGUUGCCAUUCCUCAGUGCUAAUCACCGGUCUCUCUUUCCAAGAGUGUCCAAUGCAUUUCUGGCCUGUUGUUGGUAUGGGACUGGGACUGGGGAUCUCUGUGAUCUGCAACGUCACUCUGACCUUAUGGAACUGGAAAAGGAAGAACUGCCGAGGUGAGCUGACUCAGGUGAAAAAAAAAACAGUCCACAAAUGAAAUGGCUCUGACACAUCUUUUCUUCUCAAUGGAUUUCAAGGCGUAAAAUCUCAUCUUGUCACACACGCUUUUCCAGAGGCAGACAGGCUUCAAGAUCAGGAUCUGCAUGCUAAAGACUUCAGUCAUGCUGCAUUAUAUGAGCCCAAGAUAAAAAGAGCUGGAACUCCCGAGGAUGUGGUCAGUUUGGAGUUCUGCGCUGUUCCUGACCGUUCGGCCGAGCAGGAGACGCGUCUUGCUGAGUUAUUCUACUGUCCAACUUGUGAAUGUUGGAGCUUUUUACCCUGCGAGUGUCGAAGAUUUUUACCCUGCGAGUGUUGAAGACAUUUUGCAAUACACACACAUAUAUGUACAUAUGUGCAAACAAAUGACUAAUGUUAAAAGAAUAAAACAACAACUAAUUUAGUUCUAAGAUAAAUUAUGUUAGAUGCAUAGAUGACAUCUGUUGUUUGGAAAGUAUGAAAGAAAAAAUGUGUAUAUCAAAUUAAAACUAUUAAAGCAUAAAUAAAUAUAGACAGCUUUAUGUGUCACACCACCAGAUCCCCUAGCAGACUACAAUACCCAGCAACUUGUUCAUCACCCAGUCAAUGACUCAGCCAAUCAGAGGCGUCCAAUCAGAUCAGUGUCACUGGAAUAUUGAAUUUACCUGUGUGUCCUGACUCUUGGUGUAUAUAAGACUGUUCCAAACUCUCAUUCAUUGCAAAGUACUGCUGACAGUUUACUGAAGCAUACUGAGCAUUAUUUUGGAUGGUCUUUCUGUGUACCGUACCCUGUCUUUGUAUUCCUUGUUAUUGUAUUUUGUCUGACCCUUUUGGAUUUUCUGCCUGGUUCGUUUUGUGAUUGCUCUUCUGGUUUCUGACUCAGACUGUUAUAUUCUCUAUGAUUUGGAUUGUCCCUUUAUAUGGUCUUUUGGUCUUCAUCCUGGAUUAUUCCAAAACCCCUGAACUACGAAUAAAUCAACCUCCUGUUUCA